GAAAUGCGAUAAGUAAUGUGAGUUGCAGAAUUCAGUGAAUCAUCGAAUCUUUGAACGCACCUUGCGCUCCUUGGUAUUCCUUGGAGCAUGCCUGUUUGAGUAUCAUGAAAUCUUCAAAGUAAAUCUUUUGUUAACUCAAUUGGUUUCUACUUUGGUAUUGGAGGUCUUUGCAGCUUCACACCUGCUCCUCUUUGUUCAUUAGCUGGAUCUCAGUGUUAUGCUUGGUUCCACUCGGCGUGAUAAGUUAUCUAUCGCUGAGGACACUGUAAAAGGUUGCCAAGGUAAAUGCAGAUGAACCGCUUCUAAUAGUCCAUUGACUUGGACAAUACUUUUAUGAUCUGAUCUCAAAUCAGGUAGGACUACCCGCUGAACUUAAGC
rnacentral:misc_RNA from 1 species